CCUACGGGCGGCUGCAGUGGGGAAUAUUGCGCAAUGGGCGAAAGCCUGACGCAGCGACGCCGCGUGGGUGAUGAAGGCCUUCGGGUCGUAAAGCCCUGUCGGGUGGAACGAAUUUCCAUCCUGCGAAUAGUGGGAUGGAUUGACGGUACCACCGAAGGAAGCCCCGGCUAACUACGUGCCAGCAGCCGCGGUAAUACGUAGGGGGCGAGCGUUGUUCGGAUUUACUGGGCGUAAAGAGCGCGUAGGUGGUCCGAUAAGUCGGAGGUGAAAUCCCUCGGCUCAACCGAGGACCCGCGUCCGAUACUGUCGGACUUGAGUGCAGGAGAGGAGAGCGGAAUUCCCAGUGUAGCGGUGAAAUGCGUUGAUAUUGGGAGGAACAUCAGUGGCGAAGGCGAUUCGCUGGUCCUUGUCUGACACUAAGGCUCGAAAGCGUGGGGAGCGAAACGGCUUAGAUACCCCGGUAGUC
rnacentral:rRNA from 1 species